rnacentral:lncRNA from 1 species
GGGGCUUGUUCAUAUAGGUCCCAGGAGGGAGAUCACCUGAGCACAGCUACUAUCCAGCCUGAGCGUCUCUCUGCCUGAGCGUGUUCCUGGAUGCUGUAGCUGGUGUACUUGGCAUCACAGGGCCAGAGGAAAGUUAAUGGCUUUGGGAAGCGCUUCAACAAACAAGCGUUGGGGCUUGGUAUCACUUUUCUUGAAUGGUAUGCGACUAGUCUCACUGGACAAACUUUACAGCCUUUGCACCUAAAGGAAAGCAUCACUGCUUUCUUUACUCAUUAGGGAAAUGAUGUUGAGUUAGAGGAAAUAGAUACAAGGAGGACAAGAAGUCAUCAAGUUGUCCUUUAAUACAGAGAAAUUCAAUCUGAUUUAAUGUCUCCCAAGAUAAUGCAGUUUCAGGCAGAAUCAAAGAUGAAGGUACAAAAAGAAGAAAAAUGUUGACCCAAGGGUCACAGAGUUUACGUAAUAAGUACUAUCUGGGACUUUAAUGGUAAAUUUUGGGGAUUUGCUCACUAUAUAUUUGUGCAUUAUAGAUUAAAUAUGGCUACGCACUUUUGUGACUCUUUAAACUUAGGGGUGACUUGAUUUCCCCUUUCCUUUAAUCUGGGCUGAUCUUGAAUACUCUACUCACUAGAAUUUUGCAGAAGUAAUUCUAUUUGGACUUUAGAGUACUGGCAGCUUUUGCCUUUCCCAUGUUGGAAUGAUCACUCUUAGGACAUUCCUUAG